rnacentral:tRNA from 1 species
GGACAGGUGGCCGAGUGGCUGAAGGCGCCGGUCUCGAAAACCGGUAUGCGCGUAAGCGUAUCGUGGGUUCGAAUCCCACCCUGUCCG